ACAUAUAGAAACUCUCAUCAUCACCAUCACUAUUUUUCUUUAUCUUGUGAUCAUGUCAUGGCAAGCUCUUACUCUUGAUGAAGGAUUUAUAGGCAAAAUGUAGUGACGAUUGUGUUAAUUAAUUUGAUAUUUAAUACGCAAUUAUUCUUCUUAGAAGACAAAAAGUUAUUCUUAUUCGAACAAUCUUAUCCAUGCAUGGUUUUAGUGCAUGCAAGCAAAAAAAAAAAAACAGAAAGAAUUUUGACCAUAACCAUAUAUUGAAGAAUAUAAACUACUUUAAAGAUUGGUUGACCUUAAUUAUCAAAUUCGACUUCAGAUUUUAUGUGAACAAUUUCACUAGUCACGCUCACACUACUCCAAACUCGAAAGGCGUCGUAAGAAAUCAACUUGUCGUAUCUAUGUGAGGAUUGGACAUUUCGACUAAAAUGUGAUGUAUUUGCAAAAAUAAGUCAUCGAUCAUCAAAC
rnacentral:lncRNA from 1 species